GAAAAUUCAAGAAAGCACAUAAGAAAAAUAAAAAAAUAAUCAAAAAGAGAAAACCAGGACUGCUAAAUUUAAACUUGAAAGCUCAAAAGAAAAACAUCAAACGAUUUCUUAAUAGAAUCAUGCAAUGCAACCAAAUAGCUUGAAUUUAAAACAUGAAUAUCGAAAUAUUUGCCCAUUGGUCUUUGGCACACUGCUGCAAAGCCUAGAGCAGCCAAGCGUACCAACAAAAUUUAGCAUAUCUUACCAUCAAGCAGGUCCCAGCACGAACAUUACAGAUGGGAUAGUCAUGUGGGCAGCAGCUAUAGUGGUCAUCACAGCAGGUGGCAGCCUCAAGCGGGCAGCAUCCCCAUGCAAAGCAAGAGUUACCAUACUCAAAGACACAGCAGCAAGUGUUGCUCUCAGGGCAAGAGUAAUAAUUGUCACACACAGCAGGAGGCUUUGUUGGAGAUGGAGGGGACGGUCCAGGGUUGGGAGGAUUUUGGCCUUUCUUUAUGGGAUAUGAGGCCUCCAUGGCAAUUCCACACUUGCCCGUGAGAGUGCCAGCCACGUUACGCUCCAUCCUAAUAUAGCCAGCCUCUCCCCAGCUACUGCCCCAUGAAUUCUUCACAAUCCAGUAAUCAGCUCCAUUUUCUGUGCCAUAUCCAACAGCAGUAACACCAUGGUCCAGAGAUGUCCCACAUCUUCCCGUAAAUAUACCCUGAAAAUUUGCAAAGACAGAAAAAUAUACUUGAGACUUCCUUAAAACAGAUCAGACACACACAAGACUCUUCCUGAUCCUGUUUAGAAACCAUUAGAAAUACAAUAAUUUUUGUUCAAAUACCAUCCAGUAUUGUCUCAACCAUAUCUUUUCAGAACUGCAAAAUGCAAAUACUUUGUAUCUAGAUAAUAGCAACAUUCCUAAAUCUAAAAUGUGACAAGUGCCAUGAAGAGAUGAAAGUUAC
rnacentral:lncRNA from 1 species